rnacentral:rRNA from 1 species
UACGGAGGAUCCGAGCGUUAUCCGGAUUUAUUGGGUUUAAAGGGUGCGUAGGCGGCCUAUUAAGUCAGGGGUGAAAGACGGUAGCUUAACUAUCGCAGUGCCUUUGAUACUGAUAGGCUUGAAUGUACUUGAGGUAGGCGGAAUGUGACAAGUAGCGGUGGAAUGCAUAGAUAUGUCACAGAACACCAAUUGCGAAGGCAGCUUACUAAAGUAUGAUUGACGCUGAGGCACGAAAGCGUGGGGAUCAAACAGG